rnacentral:lncRNA from 10 species
AGCUCUUGGAGCUCUGGGGUUGAUGCAAACGCGUCUCCAUGAGGAAGAGCAAGGCUCCUGCAGGAUGGAGAUCAGAUGGAUCAGGGAUCCCACAGACAGAACCUUUUGCCUGAUAUGAGCACCCUUGGGAGAGACCUCUUCACACAAAUGUUCCUUGCAAGGAAAACACUCCUGCCUCACUUUCUUCAACCCAGCCAUGACCUUUCUUGGGACAGGGUCACACCAGGGUUACAGCAUCUGCCUCCCAGCCUCCCAGCUGGCCAGCCCUUCUGCAGUGGCUCAGCCGCAGACCCCUCCUGCACACCACAGCCAAAAACGAUUCUGCCAGGACUACAGCAUCCCGUGAAACUGACGCUUAAUGAUGCAGAACUCCACGUUUCCUGUCGUCAACUUGUCAUCAUUUUCCUUCCCAGAACCCCCAGCACCUCUGACACCGACCUGGAUCUCUACUCCAGAAACUCAAAACCCAUUUUUGCCACACCGUCACGCUAGCUCUCCUUUGCUCCCCUAAUCCAGGUCCCCGUUUCUCUGCACCUGUGCCCACCACCGGGAAUCUCUCCUGUUAAGUCGCCUCCUCCAUCCCGCCUUCUCCUGACCCCGUUGGCCCAUGCGUCUUUGAACUUUUGCAGAAUUUGCAUCUGUAACAAAUUACUUGCUAUUUAAUUAUGUUCUGUCAUAUUAUUCCUGUUGAAUUUGGCUGAGAACCAUGCGCUCCUUGAAAGCAGAAACUGUCUUUGUUGUUCUGUGUCCUGAUUCAACCCACUAGCCCCAGAGCACGUCUGCAGGAAAGGCCUUCUAAGCUCAGGUCAUCAAGCUCCUCCCAACUGCACUCUUUUACUUCUGUUUUUCCAAGUCGAUCUUUUUUUAAAAAAAAACAAAAAACUUAAAUGAAUUCAUUAUUAAAAAAACUUUUUAUCACCUCCAGAAAUGGAAAACUGUAUCAUUUGCCAUCAGUAGAAUUUGGCUGUAAAAGCAAAUUCCAUGUAAACAGAACAAUGCUGUUGGGUCCUACUUCCUCAGUCUGAGACCUGCUCUUUCUCCCGUGGUCAUGGAGACUCCAAGUUCUAAAGACAUACUAGGAACAGAGAGCAGCUUUUAUUGUAUCCAGAAGAAGAGAGACAGAAAAAAACAGAACCACCUGAAAAGUGAACAACUUCCUCACUCUGUGAUUGGCAGUUGUUGAAUCCAGUGAACAGGCACCACCAAAGAUCACCCUCAGCCCACACCUCAGGACCCUCUGGUACAGACUCCAAAAUCUACCACUUACUGUGUGAGUUCCAAGUAACAAACUCUGAGUAUUAUCUUAUUUAACUCACUCUGGGGUGAGUUCUCUAAGGAAGAACCCAUUAUUAUCCCGCUUUCCAGAUGAGGAAACUGAACAUAGCAGGAGAAAGAAGCUUGACCACAACCACACAGUAGUAAGUGACUAAGUCAGGACCCAGUGAGGAUAAACAGUCAUCCUAAGUUUUAUAAGACAGAAAAUUUAAUUACAGGGACUUCCUAGAUGGUAGAAGAGCCAAAACGUCAGACAAGGGACAUUGAGGCAACCCUGGUGUCCACAGCAUCAGGAAGUGGCUACCACCUCUCAGAUGCACAAGGAAGGAGGCAGUUAUCAGAGCCCAGGAAUCAGACUCACUGAAGGGAAGCUAGAACCAGGGUGGGUCUCUGUGGCAGGAGCUGGCUUGUAGAAGGAAAGAGCCUCCAGGCAAGACAGCCCAACAAACAGAGUCAAGAAGCCCACCCAGACUCCUGUACACACCCAUGUCCCUCCAGGCUUCCCAUUGGUCCAACCCAGUCAGAAGCCAGAGACACAGGAACCCGGGGCUCAUAGCCUGCAGAGGCCAGACCCCCCAUGAUACAGGGCAGAGCAGGGGUGGAUGGGAGGAGGGGGAUGCUUUGAGACCACCAGGCACAGGCUCACCCAGGUGGUCUUAUUCUGGGGUCUUUUCACUCACACAAACCAUGUUGUAGUUGACUAUUGGAUUUCAUGAGAUAAGAGUUCAUGUGUGUUCUUCCCCAUUCCAAGAAGAGGUGGGCUCUUCCUACUUCCUAGCUACCUG